GACGAACGCUGGCGGCGUGCUUAACACAUGCAAGUCGAACGGAAAGGCCCUGCUUUUGUGGGGUGCUCGAGUGGCGAACGGGUGAGUAACACGUGAGUAACCUGCCCUUGACUUUGGGAUAACUUCAGGAAACUGGGGCUAAUACCGGAUAGGAGCUCCUGCUGCAUGGUGGGGGUUGGAAAGUUUCGGCGGUUGGGGAUGGACUCGCGGCUUAUCAGCUUGUUGGUGGGGUAGUGGCUUACCAAGGCUUUGACGGGUAGCCGGCCUGAGAGGGUGACCGGACGCCGGGGCACAGGUAGCCGCGCACGUGGCGGAUGGGAGGGGGGGGUGGCAAAUAUGGCACUGGCGUGAGAGUCGUGAUGGAGCAGGGCGCGGUGGGGGAGGGCGGAGUUGGGGUGGGAGGCUGAGUGAGCGGGGGAGGAAGGAGGAGGGAGGGGAAGGGGAAAAGAAGCACCGGCUACCUAGGGGCCAGGAGCCGCGGUAAGAAGCGGAAGGGCGACGCUUGUAC
rnacentral:rRNA from 1 species